GCAUUGGGAGGGCAGCACUGCUCACCCAGCACCUCAGACAGGAAUUCAAACGUGGGCGCCUAAUGAACGCUAAUGAGCAGAAGGUGUUGGCAUCAGGACUGCCAGUUGAGCUUUGUUCCAAGCCCUUCCUCCUGGCAGAACUUAAGACUUGGCAGUGCCACUAACAGGGCUUUCCAGACUGGUCCACUGGCAUUCAGCAAGAGAUGGCUCAGCAGUUAAGAGCACCGGCUGCUCUUCCAGAGGACCCAGGUUCAAUUCCCGGAACCCACAUGGCGGCUCACAACUGUAACUCCGGUUCCAGAGUAUCUAACACCCUCAUUCAGACGUACGAAACACCAAUGCACAUGAGAUACAAAUAAAACCAAAUCAUUAAAAGGG
rnacentral:lncRNA from 1 species